GUGCUCGCUUUGGCAUCACAUAUCCUGAAACUGGAACAAUACAGAGAGGAUCAGCACGGGCCCUGAGCAAGGAGGACAUGCAGAAUUGGGAAGCGUUCCAUGUUUUU
ensembl:snRNA U6 U6 spliceosomal RNA